rnacentral:RNase_P_RNA from 1 species
CCAGUUGGCCGGGCAGCCGCGCCUUGCAAGGGCCGAAAGGCCGCAGGGUGAGGAAAGUCCGGGCUCCACGGAAACACGGUGCCGGAUAACGUCCGGCGGGGGCGACCCCAGGGAAAGUGCCACAGAAAGCAAACCGCCUUCCUUGGAAGGUAAGGGUGAAAGGGUGGGGUAAGAGCCCACCGCGUGCAUGGCGACAUGGACGGCACGGUAAACCCCACCGGGAGCAAAACCGAAUAGGGAUGACGCGGAGCGCGUAAGCGCUCCAGCCUGUUUCCGGGCCGGUCAUCCGGGUGGGUUGCAAGAGGCCGGGCGCAAGUCCGGUCCCAGAUGAAUGGCUGCCACGUUCCGGCGAAAGCCGGAGCCUUACAGAACCCGGCUUACAGGCCAACUGGCAAA